rnacentral:rRNA from 1 species
GACGAACGCUGGCGGCGUACUUAACACAUGCAAGUCGAACGAAGUGGCGAACGGGUGAGUAACUCGUAAUCAACCUGCCCUUCAGCGGGGGACAACAGUUGGAAACGACUGCUAAUACCGCAUACUGAAGGAGGGGAUUGCGUCUGAUUUGCUAGUUGGAGGGGUAACGGCCCACCAAGGCGAUGAUCAGUAGCCGGUCUGAGAGGAUGAAAGGCCACAUUGGUACUGAGACACGGCCCAGAAUCCUACGGGAGGCAGCAGUGGGGAAUCUUCCGCAAUGGAAGAAAGUCUGACGGAGUAACGCCGCGUGAGUGAUGACGGCCUUCGGGUUGUAAAGCUCUGUUAAUCGGGACGCGGUACCGGAAUAGAAAGCCACGGCUAACUACGUGCCAGCAGCCGCGGUAAUUC